rnacentral:lncRNA from 1 species
GCUAUUCUCGUGACAGUGAGAAAGUCUCAUGAGAUCUGAUGGGUUUAUCAGAGGUUUCCAUUUUUGCUUCCUUUUCAGUUUUCUAUUGCUGCCACCAUCAUUUUCACCUCCUGUCAUGAUUCUGAGGCCUCCCCAGCCAUGUAGAACUGGAAGAAGGAAGAUUUCUAUUCCUACCAGUGAAGACUCCUGAAGCGUGGGAUACUGUUUUGCUCUUACAAAGGUCAGUUCAUGAUGGACUAGUAUUGGUUUUAACCAUUAUUCAUAAUAGUCUCUGAAAUGCUUGGUGCUUCCAUGGUAAAGUAAAAGAGGCUGCUGGCAUUUUCCUGUUACAUCUCAUGGUGAAAAUCUCUUUGCCUGGUUCCAUUUGUUCUCCCUAAAUAAUUUUUAAAAGAAUUAUAUGACUUAAAAAUUAUUUGAUUUAAAUUCUUUACUCCUGAAUCUUUAAGAAUUAUAGUACUAUAGCGAUGAUUUAUGGAUGUAUUUUUUAUUCAAUGUUUUUGAAAAUUAUGCCAAAAUGUGAUGCUAUUUGGGUUAACAGUUGAUAGCACACUUGUGGUGGCCAGACUCUAAGGUGGGCCCCAGUGAUCUUUACCUUCUGAUGCCAGUGUCCUUGUGUAGUCCUUGUCCAUAAUACACUGGAGUUGGUCUUUGUGAUAGAUCAUAUGUGGCAGAGUGAGGUUCAAUCCUGUAAGACAUUGCCACUUCUGCCUUGAUCUCCUGGAUCACUUACCAUGUCAUGAGGAUACUCAUCCCUGUGGAAAGGUCUAUGUGGUAAGGAACUUAGUGAGGCCUUCUGACAACAACCAGCACUGGUUUGACAGCUAUUAGAAUAAGAUGUCUUAAAAACAUAUUCUCCCGUUAAGCCUUCUAAUGACUAGCUAACCAUUAUGACCAUAACCUCAUGAAAGACCCUGAACUAGACUAUUAAGCUAAGCCAUGAUCUGAUUCUUAACCCACAGAAACUUUAUAAGACAGUAAAUCUAUACAGCUUUCUAGGCCACUAAGUGUUGAAGUAAUUUGCAGGCAACAUCAAAUAAAACUAUACUGGAAAGAACAUCUAAAGCCUAAAGCCUUAAUUCUCACUUGAACAGAAUUUUAUUAAAUGAUGCUGAAGAUAAGAGUAACUUUGGGAGUUGGACAUUGUAGCAUAACUUUAAAAAAUCAGUUACUGCAAUUAAAUUUUUUUAUUACCAACAAAUAUUGCUAAGGACAACUCCUCCAUGGUUCUGCUGACAUAAACUGCAUAUUAGUUUAUACAAGUAUAUUUGCCUCAGUAUUUUAUAACUAUCAGAGUUUGAUCUUGACUCCAGAGUCAUUAGAGACAACUGUGUGUUGAACCAAAUGUUAGAAUCCUGACAUGUGAUUUUGAGAAAGAGGAACCAAAAAUGGUAGACUUUUCCAGGAAUUGUUAUAUAGGGAAGGCAGAAUUUGGUGAAUAGUAUCUAUUUCCCAGAUUGGGCUCUCCCCACACUGACAAAGCUUUUCCUGCCUCUCAACAUUAGCAUAAAUUUAAAAACCUACAAGAGGCAACACACACACACACACACAUACACACAAAUUAAGUAUAUGUCACAAUAGCGCAACUGAACACUAUUUGUGGAGCCAUUGCUGUAUGCAGUCCACUCUGCUGUGAAUUUCAAUUAAUAGAUGACACAGAAUCUACUUCCUGGCACAUACUGUUCCAUGACGUUUAAGACUCUGACAAGCAAUCCUGGAGAUGGAAGCCGUAAAAUUCCUGCCUACCCUACACUCUUUGUCAUUUAAAGUACUAGUAGAUCCCUGAAUUCUUCCCACUUAGGUCUGAGGCCAUCUGUUUGGAGACUAGGUCUAAGACUGUAUCAGCAGACCUGCCACAGAAUUUUAUUUCUCGCUCUUGUUCACUUAGCCCUGCUGUCCUGGUAUUCACUGUUGGCAUGAUCUACUGUCUCCUCUGAUGCCUUCAUUAUUGGUUGACCUACCUCCUCCUCAGUUUUCUAUUCCUGGUUUAAUUCAUGGAAGUAAAUUCUAUUAAUAAGACAGGGUUUCUACCUUUAAGAGGUUUAUAAUUAAGUUGAAUAACAAGUGUGACAAAGGAACACACAAAUGUUCAUUUUGAUUCCUGCUCCCCAGAGACGUCAAUUGUCCAUGAGUCAGCUCCACUUCCUGCUCCUCUGGUGUUGGGGCUUCUAUUGUUAGGAGAGUUCUUGCCUGCUCCCUUAUGGGUUCCAGGACCCAACCACAGUUGGCCAGUCAUAAUCCAUCAGACCCGGUUUGUUCAAAAUGAAUUGCUGAUGUACUCAUAACCAAUUUCAUGAGAUUUAUAGUUCAGUUAAGAAGGCAAGACCUGAUAGGAAAAAUUGAAAUAAUAGGAUGUUUUAAUGCUCAGUAAUAGAACAGAUCUUAUGAGACACAGGACAUGAUUUUUUAAUGUGAUAUCAUGGACACUGAUUGUCACAGUGUACAAAGGAAGAUAAGAUUCUUUGAGCUGGAUCCCCGGAAAGGGCUCUUCAGAGGAAGUAG